GACUAUGAGAUGAGAAAUAUGGUAGACUGACUUUAACACAGUUUAUGCCCUUAUAAAUUUCAGUAAUGAUAUACUUACUAUGGUAAGUAUACCAUCACUACAGAACAAAAAAAUUUGAUUACAAGAUAAAAGAAAAUUCCACCGUAAGACAAUUUUUUUUUUGCUUUCUCUUACAGAUUUUGUACUAAUUAUUAUACAUACAUUAUUAUUCUAUAAAUUUUACUGUUUGAGAUUUUUUAGUGUCUUACAUUAUUACUACAAUACGAUCUAUGCCCUUGUGAAUUCUGUUGCAUAAAUAGUGGUGUCACUUUACCUGUUCUUCUAAAAACAUACUGGUUACUGUCAAUUGUGUAGUUCCGAUUUGAUCUUCUGUUCCCUCUUGUCAUAUAUUUUUUAUCUGGCAAUGUUUGUUGAUUCCUUUUAUUUGAAAUGAAAUUGGCUGCUAUUAAAAUUGAUCGGCUGCUUGACAUAAUGACUAAGAUGCAUUUCUUGUGUAUAAUAGGUGGUGCAUCCUGCAGACCUAUGUUUUAAGCUGCCCGACAAUGUCAGCCUGGAGGAAGGGGCUAUGUGUGAGCCCUUGAGUGUUGGUGUUCAUGCUUGCCGUCGUGCCAAUAUCGGUCCUGAGACAAAUGUGCUUAUCAUGGGUGCAGGGCCCAUAGGACUUGUCACAAUGCUAGCAGCUCGUGCUUUUGGAGCUCCUAGAAUUGUCAUUGUGGAUGUGGAUGACUAUCGUUUAUCUGUUGCAAAGGAAAUUGGUGCAGAUAAUAUUGUUAAAGUUUCAACAAAUUUGCAGGUAUAUUACUGCUCAUUGCCCAGCAGAAGAGUUUAGAAAAGUAAAAGACAUCUCAAAAUCUUCAUGCUCACAAUCCUUCCCUUUCUGGCUUUCUCUUAAUCAUCAUAACAACAUGUUUUGUUCAACCAACACUGUUGCAUUAAGACCUUGUUCUAACUUCCUCAGUUCAUUUUUGUUAUCACUACCUUUUGUUUUCUGUUUGAAAGUUGACCACUCUAAUCUGCAUUAUUCUUGUUAUCAGAGUAGAGGUGAGCUUGAGCUUUGGUUCGUUUGAAAAUUGAUCAUGUGCUCCUCACCCUUGUUUUUUCUGCUUGAAUAAACCGCUAUGCAUCGAGUAUUUUGCAGGAUAUAGCUGAAGAAGUGGAAAAGAUACAGAAAGCCAUGGGGACGGGAAUAGAUGUGAGCUUUGAUUGUGCAGGCCUUAACAAAACCAUGUCAACAGCACUGGGCGCCACUCGUGCAGGUGGUAAAGUUUGCCUCGUGGGGAUGGGUCAUCAUGAUAUGACUGUCCCACUCACUCCAGCUGCUGCAAGGUACUUGAUUUACGGUUUUCUUUUCCUUUUUUUUUCUUGUUUUGGGCUACUCCGUUAUUUACUUUAGGAAAAUGCUAUAUACCCCGGGUCAAACCCCAAAACUAAUUCAAGCGACGUUGUUUGAUCCUUUUUUUUUUUAUUCACCUUAAAACGACGCCGUUUUGUUUAGCUAACGUCAGCCUUAAUUGCUCUCUCUUCAUCUUCGUUUCAACGACAAAAUCGAUUUGGCUUAGACAAAACCGAUUUCAAGAACAUCAGCGACAAAACCGAUUUGGCAAAACCUUUAAGCUUUUAUCUUCCUUCUAGGUGAUUGGAUUUGGCUUAGAUAAGGCAAAAAGGAAAUCUUGAACAAGGUGGCUGCCAGGCGUGAUGGUGGUGCUAAUGGCUAGGUAUGCGUGAUGGUGGCUGCCAGUUGUGGAUCGCGAACGGUUGUGAAAUGAAGAGGAAGAUAAAGCAGUUGUUUUACAGAGACAUGGAAGGCGAAUGGUUGGGAGACGAAGAGGAAGAGAGAGCAAUUUUGGACCGUCGUUGCUUUUGUCUUAACUAAGCCAAAACGACAUCGUUUUUGGGAGAAUGAAAGGCCAAAAAAAAUAAAAAUGAAAUAGCGUCGUUUGCAUUAGUUUUGGAGUUUGACUUGGGGUAAAUAGCAACACUAUUUACUUUAAGUUUCUAGUUAGUUUCAGCAAAUUCACUUUAAGAUCACUUUUUUUUUUUUUUGAAAUCUGAGAAAAUUUGAAUUAGUGAUUUUUUUUUUUAUCUGAAUUGCUAAAAGUAAAUUUUAAAUUAUUUUUCUAACCUAAAAAAAAUAUAAAAACUAAUAUUUUUACAUUUAUAUCCUUACAAAUUAUAAAUGUUAAACAAAUAAUAAACAUAUCAAAAAAUAUAAACAAGAUAAUAUAUUAUUAUAACAUAAAUCAUAUUCAGUUGAAUACAACUCUUUAAUAUUUUAUAUUAAAUAUGUUAAUCAAAUUUAUUAUAGUUUAUGAUGUCUUUAUAUGAAAAAUAUUUAUAAAAAAUUAUGAAGAUAAAUAAUGCUAAUUUGAAGAAAAUAAAAAUAUGAAAAUAAUAAUAAUCUACCACUAUAUAUUAUCACAAGUUAUAUAGAGAUGGGUAAUAAUGCUAAUUAUUAAAUUUUAUUUAGGAAAUGAUGAAAAUUAAUUAGUGAGAUAUGAAUAUUUUGGAGAAUAUCUUUUAAUGGUACCAUUAAAACUUUUUAUAUUAAGCAAAAAAGGUAAAAAAAAUUAGUUCAAUAACUUAAUAACUUAAUGGCUGAAAUUUUUCAUUAAGUUGAAAAAAUAAAUAGAUUUAAUGACUUAAUUGAUUAAAAUUAAGUCAAUUAAGCCAAGUAAAAAAAGCAAAUGACCGCUAAGUCUCUGAAAUGCAAAAAAAAAAAAACACAAAAUUCGUGGGAGGAGCAUUUCAUUGUUGGAUUGGGAACAAAUGGAUUUAAAAAAUGAGAGAAUAAAAGUUGAAUACAAUUACCAAAAAGAUCAUAAAGCCAUCAUUUUUAAGAACAUGUAAAAUGGUAAACAAAAGUUGUUGAAUAAAAGUUGGAAUGUCCUAGAAUCAAUAGACUUGGAAGAAGAAUGUAAACAAAUUCUUGUGCUUGGGUUGUAUGUUAUCCAAUAGAACACGAUGGCAUGUCAAGAACAACCUUCACAAACCAUCUUGUAUAUUGUUUCUGUUUAAUGACUGUUUUUCCUUUCCUUUUCUCGAAACAUAUGCUUAAUGACUUCUUAAGCUGAAUAACCCGUUUCAGCUUUUAAUUGGACUAAAAUCCGUCUGAACCUUUUACCCUUAAAUUUAUGAGCAUAAUUGCGAACGCAGGGAAGUGGAUGUGGUGGGGGUGUUUCGCUACAAGAACACCUGGCCACUGUGUCUGGAGUUCCUUAGAAGCGGAAAGAUUGAUGUAAAGCCCCUUAUCACGCACAGGUUUGGUUUCUCCCAGAAAGAAGUGGAAGAGGCCUUUGAAACAAGUGCUCGUGGUGGUACUGCAAUCAAGGUCAUGUUUAAUCUGUAAGAUACAAUGUACUGCAAUCAAGGUCAUGUUUAAUCUGUAAAAUACAACGGCCAUGUAAACGUUUGGGCAAAAGAUUAAAUAAAAUGGAAUUGUCGCCGUGUAAUAUGAACCAAAGUUGAGCUUAUUAAUUUAUUUCUCAUCACCUUGCAGCCGCCGGCGUCAGAGUAACCGUCAUCUCGCUCUUGGCUAAUCCUAUCAGGCAAACUUUGCCUCCUGGACAAGUGGCAUUCAAAGCCGUUGACAUGGUUUUGUCAAACCCAACACAAUCAAAGCUCACAUCAAUGUCUGAACCCAUUGCAUUUUGUAUCUUCCCCACUUCUGUAUCAACGUCCUGCCAAUGUUUUUGCACAGCUUCAAGGCCUAGAAAAAAUUGGGAAAGUGAAAACAGAGUGAUAAUCAUCUAUAUCUGACAAUUAACCUCGAUAUCUGUUGAGAUUUAACUGUUUCAUCCGCGCCAAGAUUCCUCGCAAUAAAUAGACGCUGAACAUCAACAUCAGUGAUGACAAUUCUGGGGGCACCAAAUGCUCGAGCAGCUAACAGGGUAACAAGGCCUAUCGGUCCUGAUCCCAAGAUCAAUACAUUGGUUUCAGGUCCAACGUUUGCACAUUGCUCCUUCCUCCAAGCUCAUAUUUAUCAGGUAACUUGUAACAUAACUUUGCUGGAUGCACAACCUAGUUGCGGGAAAAAGAAAAUGUCUCCGUUAUUUACAAUUCUUAUGUACAUAGACCGCAUGUGAAAUUAAAAAAAUUCUAGUUUGGGAAGCUGAAGACAUCUGAUCAUUGACCUUAUGGGCAAGAGAGCCGUUGGUUGGAGGAGAUCCAAAGAAUCUCAUUUCAGGACAAAGAUUAUAGCUACCAGCUUUGCAGAGACUGCAGUGUUCGCAACUAAUACCAGGUUCUAGAGCCACACGAUCACCCACCUCAAGGGACUUAACUUCACUGCCAACUUCUUCUAUGAUCCCAGCACACUCAUGUCCAAUUACCAUAGGUUUUUUCACAAUAAAAUUGGCACAUCUCAUAGUCUGAUCAUAAACAACAUUUUGCAUACAAUAAGCAGUGACAGCCUUUGGCAUAUUAUACAGUCAUCAAGAUUUUGCAUAGAGACAGACAGAAAGCUUUUUUCACCUUGAAGUGAUGAACAUCACUUCCACAUAUUCCAAGAGCCUUCAUUCGUACUUUCACAUCUUGAGGACCUAAAAAUUACACAAUUUUUUAUUUUUGGGCAUGGCACGGCAUGACAAGUGAUCUGAUUAAAUUCACAGUUGUGCGUAUAGAAUAACGAGAAGAAGAUUAAAAUAUAAUACCUAGGGUAGGCAAAUGAUAUGGCUGAAUUUUCAGAGUUUUGAUUCCAAGCAGCCAUAUUCUGAUUCUCGUCUCCUUCGUUAUCUCUGAUUGCCUUAACUUCACCAUCAUCACCCUUCUUAUCGGCCAUUUCAAUGUUUCCCUUUUUUUCCUUUCCUCUCGUCCUCUAUUUACACAGUGUUAUUGUGUCUCGUAUUAUCCCCUGGAAGUGAAGCUGACUAGAUCCUAGUUAAAAUUGCCUCCUUUUUCUUUUCUUUUUCCCAUCUCAUUUCCCUUGUGCCUGCCAAACAAACUUCUUAAUUAUUAUAGUCACCUUUUUGUACAGGUAUUCCCUUCCCUCCCAUUAUUAAGUUAUUUAAAUUAUAUGAAUUUUAAAAUAUUAUUUCAUGUGACCAUAUUCAUUAAAAGAAGUCAUGAAAAUCAAAUUAUUGGCUUUCUUUUAGUCCAUAGUACCAUACAAUUCUUUCAUACCAUUUUGCAAAAUUAGCCACCUCCCACAUACAUGUAGUUGAUUUUGAUUCCUUUAUGAAGAUACAAUUAUUGCACAGUUUGGAUUUUGGGGUCCAUAAAUUCUGAAAAAAACAAAAUUAACAAACAACCAACGGUUCUGAAACCAAUAAAUUCUCUCCACGUAAGCACGUUAUCCUGUUGAAAAAGAAACCAUAAUCUCUAUUAGAUAGUGUACAGAGUGAAGUCUCUGCUGUGCACUUGUGUUUUUGAAGGGUGAAAAGCAAAUAUGGGCAAGGGAGGGAUGUCACAAGGAGAAAAGGAAGAUGGAGAAGAAGUUAACAUGGCAGCUUGGCUUAUGGGUGUCAACACUCUCAAGAUUCAGCCUUUGGAGCUUCCUUCUCUGGGUAUUUUUAUCUUUCUUUCAUCUCUGUCUUGUAUCUUAGAAGUGUUAUGGAAUUUGUUUAUUGGUUGAAGAUAUGAACUUUGUUAGGUUGAUAUAUAUCUAAAGAGAGAUCUUUGGUUGAAAAACAAUGAAAACACAUCUUCCAAUACAGCUUAUUUCAUACCUUUUACAAUUGAAUUAACUAUCACUCACAAUUAAUGUAUUUCAAACUGAUUGUUUUAACAUCUUUGUUCGUUAUUUGUAAACUGUAGGACCUUAUGAUGUUUUGGUCAGGAUGAAAGCCGUUGGUGUUUGUGGAAGUGAUGUGCAUUUUCUCAAGGUAUAUUUGUUAAUCCCUCUUUAACUUCCCUUAAAUUAUUAUUAUUAUUAUUAUUAUGGCAAUUACUCUGUCAAAUUGCUGAGAAAUGUUAAUAACGGAAUCUUUUCACUUUAUGUUAUUCAAAAUAAUACUUGAAUGUUGAAUGUUUGUGUAUUUUCGCAGACCUUGAGGUGUGCCGAUUCUGUUGUGAAAGAGCCUAUGGUGAUUGGGCACGAGUGUGCUGGGGUCAUAGAGAAGGUGGGAAGCGAGGUGAAGACUUUGGUGCCCGGUGACCGUGUGGCCCUGGAACCAGCGAUCAGCUGCUGGCAAUGUGAUUACUGCAAAGGAGGUCGAUACAAUUUGUGUCCAGAGUCGAAAGGUCUUGGAAGUCCGCCAGUUCAUGGUUGUCUGGCUAAUCAGGUUGAUUGAAAAUUUACAUUUUGAACUAAGUUCUAUAGGACUAUGAGAUGAGAAAUAUGGUAGACUGACUUUAACACAGUUUAUGCCCUUGUAAAUUUCAGUAAUGAUAUACUUACUACGGUUAGUAUAUACCAUCACUACAGAACAAAAAAAUUUGAUUACAAGAUAAAAGAAAAUUCCACUGUAAGACAAUUUUUUUUUUUUUUUUGCUUUCUCUUACAGAUUUUGUACUAAUAAUUAUACAUACAUUAUUAUUCUAUAAAUUUUACUGUUUGAGAUUUUUUAGUGUAUUAGAUUAUUACUACAAUAUGAUCUAUGCCCUUGUGAAUUCUGUUGUUAAAUAGUGGUGUCACUUUACUUGUUCUUCCAAAAACAUACUGGUUACUGUCAAUUGUGUAGUUCCCAUUUGAUCUUCUGUUCCCUCUUGUCAUAUAUUUUUUAUCUGGCAAUGUUUGUUGAUUCCUUUUAUUUGAAAUGAAAUUGGCUGCUAUCAAAAUUGAUCGGCUGCUUGACACAAUGACUAAGAUGCAUUUCUUCUCUAUAAUAGCUGGUGCAUCCUGCAGACCUAUGUUUUAAGCUGCCCGACAAUGUCAGCCUGGAGGAAGGGGCUAUGUGUGAGCCCUUGAGUGUUGGUCUUCAUGCCUGCCGCCGUGCCAAUAUCGGUCCUGAGACAAAUGUGCUUAUCAUGG
rnacentral:lncRNA from 1 species